rnacentral:rRNA from 1 species
GUCUUUUUGAAAAUAAUUUAAAGUUUAACCUGCCCAAUGAUUUUUUUAAAUGGCCGCAGUAAAUUGACUGUGCAAAGGUAGCAUAAUCAUUAGUUUUUUAAUUAAAAGCUGGUAUGAAUGGUUGGACGAGAUAUAAACUGUCUUAAAUUAAAAUUUAGAAUUUUAUUAUUUAGUAAAAAAGCUAAAAUUUUAUUAAAAGACGAGAAGACCCUAUAGAUCUUUAUAUUUAUUUAAUUAAAAUUUAUUAAGAAAAAUUUAUUAUUUAAUUAAUGAAAUAUUUUAUUGGGGUAAUAAAAAGAUUUAAUUAAUUCUUUAUAUUUAAACAUUAAUUUAUGAUUUGAAAUUUUGAUCCUUUAAUUAAGAUUAUAAGAUUAAGUUACCUUAGGGAUAACAGCGUAAUUUUUUUGGAGAGUUCAUAUCGAUAAAAAAGUUUGCGACCUCGAUGUUGGAUUAAAAUUUAAUUUAAGUGCAGAAGUUUAAAUUUUUGGUCUGUUCGACCAUUAAAAUUUU